UAGGGAAUCUUCCACAAUGGACGCAAGUCUGAUGGAGCAACGCCGCGUGAGUGAAGAAGGUCUUCGGAUCGUAAAGCUCUGUUGUUGGUGAAGAAGGAUAGAGGCAGUAACUGGUCUUUAUUUGACGGUAAUCAACCAGAAAGUCACGGCUAACUACGUGCCCG
rnacentral:rRNA from 1 species